UUUUGAAACCCUAGUUGAGCUGCGCCUCCCAACUCUACUCAUCUAAGCUUGAAUCGCCUUCAUCCAAAGCUUCAAGCUUCAAUCGCCUUCAUCCUCCUUCAUCGCCUUCCAUCUCAAAUUUUUGCUUCUCUUUCUCAAUACUUUCUGAUUCUUCUGCUGCUCCUGUUCCUCAAAGUUUUUAUCUAAAAAUGGCUAAUGAAGAAGUUCAGUCACCUAAUGAUGUUUCUCCGACACAACAAACUCAAACAGCUCUGGAUGAGACGAAUGUCGAAAGUCAAGAACCUGAAGCCGUUCGUGAGCCUAGUGUAAGUCCUAACAAAAGAGGACUCAAAUUUGUUUAUUGGCGUCAUUACAACAGGCAGAAGUUCGAUGGCAAGUUUAAGGCUAUUUGCAAAUAUUGCGAGAAGAAACUUGGUGGUGAGACAGCAAAUGAUACUACUCAUUUAAAGGACCAUCUUUCAAUAUGUGCAGCUCGCAAUAAAAGAAGUCCAAUGCAAAUCUUGCUUAAAGUUUCUGAAGU
rnacentral:lncRNA from 1 species